rnacentral:rRNA from 1 species
GAUGAACGCUGGCGGCGUGCCUAAUACAUGCAAGUCGAGCGAACAGACGAGGAGCUUGCUCCUCGCACGUUAGCGGCGGACGGGUGAGUAACACGUGUAUAACCUACUUAUAAGACUGGGAUAACUUCGGGAAACCGGAGCUAAUAGCGGAUAAUAUAUUGAACCGCAUGGUUCAAUAGUGAAAGACGGUUUUGCUGUCACUUAUAGAUGGAUACGGGCCGCAUUAGAUAGUUGGUACGUUAACGGCCUACCAAGGGAACGAUGCGUAGCCGAGGUGAGUGAGGGGUAGGCCACCCGGGAACUGAGCCACGGUCCAGGCUCCUACGGGAGGCAGCAGUAGGGAAUCUUCCGCAAUGGGCGAAAGCCUGACGGAGCAACGCCGCGCGAGUGAUGAAGGUCUUCGGAGCGUAAAACUGUGUUAUUAGGGAAGAGCCAAUGUGUAAGUAAAUAUGCACGUCUUGACGGUACCUGAUCAGAAAGCCCCGGCUAACUACGUG